rnacentral:rRNA from 1 species
AUGUCUUCGGCGACGCAGCAGCAGCCGCCACCGGCGGCGCCGCCGUACCGGCCAUACCGGCAGGUGCGCGCGGCGACCCCGCACGCCCGCGCCAUCUCCUGCGUGCGCUUCUCCCCCUGCGGGCGCCUCCUAGCGACGGCCUCCCUCGACGGCACGGUCGCCCUCCUCUCCCCGUCCUCGCUCGCCGUCAUCGCCAACCUGCGCGGCCACACGCAGGGCGUCUCCGACCUGUCCUGGAGCACGGACUCGAAUUACCUCUGCUCCGCGUCCGACGACCGCACCCUCCGCAUCUGGGACAUCCGCUCCAUCCUCCCCGGCCCCAAGCCCGCCGACCCCAACGCCGAUCGCUGCAUCCGCGUGCUCAAGGGCCACACCAACUUCGUCUUCAGUGCCAACUUCAAUCCGCAGACCAGCUCCCAGGUCGCCUCGGGGGGAUUCGACUGCACCGUGCGCAUCUGGGACGUCAGCAGCGGCCGCUGCAUCCGCGCCAUCGACGCGCACUCUGAGCCCGUCACCUCCGUCCACUUCAUCCGGGACGGGUCGAUCAUUGUGUCGGGGAGCCAUGAUGGGAGCUGCAAGAUUUGGGAUGCGGGAACUGGCUCUUGUCUCAAGACAGUCAUUGACGACAAGAAGCCAGCGGUUUCCUGCUCAAUGUUCUCACCAAAUGGCAAGUUCAUCCUCGUCGCUACGCUCGAUGACUCACUGAAACUAUGCAACUAUGCUACUGGCAAGUUCUUGAAGGUAUAUAGUGGGCAUGUGAACAGAGUAUACUGCAUCCAGUCUGCGUUUUCUGUCAGGAACGGGAAGUACAUUGUUAGUGGGUCGGAAGAUAAAUGCGUAUACAUAUGGGACCUCCAAGGGAAAAACAUUCUUCAGAAAAUGGAAGGCCAUACCGACGCUGUCAUCUCGGUGUCAUGUCAUCCAACAGAGAACAAAAUUGCUUCUGGCAGCCUUGAUAAUGACAAGACUGUGAGACUCUGGGUCCAAGAUGGCUGA